UACGGAGGGUGCAAGCGUUACCCGGAUUCACUGGGUUUAAAGGGUGCGUAGGAGGGCAGGUAAGUCAGUGGUGAAAUCCCCGAGCUUAACUUGGGAACUGCCGUUGAUACUAUCUGUCUUGAAUACCGUGGAGGUGAGCGGAAUAUGUCAUGUAGCGGUGAAAUGCUUAGAUAUGACAUAGAACACCAAUUGCGAAGGCAGCUCGCUACACGAAUAUUGACUCUGAGGCACGAAAGCGUGGGGAUCAAACAGG
rnacentral:rRNA from 1 species